rnacentral:rRNA from 1 species
UACGUAGGGUCCGAGCGUUGUCCGGAAUUAUUGGGCGUAAAGGGCUCGUAGGCGGUCUGUCGCGUCGGGAGUGAAAUUUUACAGCUUAACUGUGAACGUGCUUUCGAUACGGGCAGACUGGAGGUAUGCAGGGGAGAACGGAAUUCCUGGUGUAGCGGUGAAAUGCGCAGAUAUCAGGAGGAACGCCAAUGGCGAAGGCAGCUCGCUGGAACGGUACUGACGCUGAGGCGCGAAAGCCAGGGGAGCAAACGGG